GACGAACGCUGGCGGCGUGUCUAAUACAUGCAAGUCGAACGCAGUGGGGACGGGUGAGUAACACGUGGGUAACCUCCCAUCAGAGGGGAUAACACUUGGAAACAGGUGCUAAACCGAUACUGAUGGAUGAACCAGCGGUGCAUUAGCUAGUUGGUGAGGUAACGGCUCACCAAGGCCACGAUGCAUAGCGGACCUGGGGGGGUGACAGGCCAACCGGGGAUGGGAACACGGCCCAGCUCCCUACGGGAGGCAGCAGGAGGAAUUCUUCGGCAAUGGACGAAAGUCUGACCGAGCAACGCCGCGUGAGUGAAGAAGGUUUUCGGAUCGUAAAACUCUGUUGUUAGAGAAGCGGUAUCUAACCAGAAAGCCACGGCUAACUACGUGCCAGCAGCCGCGUAAUUC
rnacentral:rRNA from 1 species